rnacentral:tRNA from 1 species
GGUAGGAUGGCUGAGGUUUAAGCGGCGGAUUGUAGCUCCGUAAACGGGGGUUUGAUUCCUCCUCGUACCA